AGGGAGCGGGAGGCGGGGGCCAGGCGGCUCCUCCUCGUCGCGAACUCUGGAUGACCUUGGCCAAAUCGCUUCAGUUCCCCGAGCUGGCGACUUCGUCUGUAAAAUGUGACUAGCAUGCAGAUACCCAUGCUCUGACUUUCUGCCCCUCCACUGACAUGGCCCACCGGGGUGGGGAGAGGGACUUCCAGACUUCAGCUCGACGCAUGGGCACCUCGCUGCUUUUCCAGCUUUCAGUGCAUGAACGGGAGCUGGACCUGGUUUUUCUGGAUCAUAGCUAUGCCAAGCCUUGGAGUGCCCACCCAGAUGCCAGUAGUGCCCGCCCCACCCGCAUGCUCUUUGUCACUCCCCGGCGGCAGCACGAAAGUACCAUAUGAUUGUUAAAUACCUGUGAAGUAUGUGUGGCCCGGUCCUAUUUCCUCACCUGUUUACAGUGAAUCAGACGUCCCAAUAGAUGUGGAGACGGUCACAUCAACGCCUAUGCCACUCUAUGACAAUCAGAAGGCACGCAGCGUGAUGAAUGAGUGUGAACGGCAUGUCAUCUUUGCCAGGACUGAUGCAGAUGCCCCUCCUCCACCA
rnacentral:sRNA from 1 species